rnacentral:lncRNA from 1 species
UGAUGGUUGGAUGAAAAUCAUAACAAAAUAAAGACAAAUAGAGGAAACCUUCUGUCUCUGCAAAUGAAGGAAGAGGAUAAAGGAGGAAGAGAAGAGAGGGGAGAGGGGAGGGGAGGAAGAACAGUGGCUUCCUUCCGCUCAAAGUGAAAAUGGAUGUAAGAUUAUUUUUUAGGGGAGAGAGGGCUAGAGUUUCUCUGGAGGUAUGCGCUCUUGUUGAUUGUUUGUUGAUAGAUGAUACUUAACCUGCAAAACUUCACUAAUACUAUAAUUAUUACUAGUUCUUUGGCACACACUCCGAUUGAAUUUUUUUUACUUGUGAUAUAUUUUUUUAUUAUUCAACAGGUUUGAAGGUAGUUUUCUUUUAAAUUUUUUUAUUUAUGGACAACUGUAGUACUGCUCCUAAUAUUAAUUUGCUAGUUUCAACUUAUCCAAAGUAGAUAUUAAUCGGUCACUAUAUAAUAUUGUAGUAUUAUUUUUGUAACAUAUAUUAUUCUUAUUCAAUUGUAUGUGAGAAUUAUUUUUAUAAUACGUGAAUUUUGUGUGUCUUACUGUAAAUUUUGUAAAAAAUACGUGUAUUAAACAUUAGAAAUGUGUAUGUACAUGUAUAGUAGGACUAUUCCACAUUUCCUUUUAAAAAACUUGAGACGUGUGUAGAACAAGAAUGUACUAUUAAUAAAUAUGUACGUACGUAUAUAGUAGAGUAUUAAAUGUGAAAGUACAAAAUUCUUUAUGCUAAUAAUAACCCUGUAAAAGUAAAAAAUUAAAAGGGGGCAAUAGAGACUCAGGUAAUGGCCUAAUACUAAUGGAUAACUACUCUUAUCGAUAAACAAAAAUCAGGGAAAAAAAUUAAAAGAAAAAAAGGAUCCCAGUAUAUAUAUAGAAGACUUUAGCCACUUGUCUAUACUAUUUAUUGAAGAAAUAUUUUUAAAUAAAAAAAAAUUAAGUAAACCAGCCCGGCUAUACUAUUUUUUUAAAAACAUUGACAAAAUUGAGUAUAGCCUGACAAUUUACUAUAUUUAAAAAAAGAGAACAGACACACAG